AAUUUAAAUGGGACCAAUCGGCACACACCACCUUUCGAUUAAAACAAAAUUUGUCGAAAUCGGUCUACCUGGUCAAAAGUUCUGAUGUAACAUACAUAUAAAAAAAAAAAAAAAAAAAAAAAAAAAAAAAAAAAAAAAAAAAAAAAAAAAAAAAAAAAAAUACAGUCGAAUUGAGAACCUCCUCCUUUUUUGGAAGUCGGUUAAAAAGAUGAAUUUUAUUUUACAAUUUUUCUUUAUACAUUAUGAUACAAAAUUAAUUAUAAAAACCC
rnacentral:misc_RNA from 1 species